rnacentral:rRNA from 1 species
UACGGAGGGGGCGAGCGUUAUUCGGAAUUAUUGGGCGUAAAGGGCGCGUAGGCGGCCCGGUAAGUCAAAGGUGAAAUCCCUCGGCUCAACUGAGGAACUGCCUUUGAAACUGUCGGGCUUGAGGCCGGGAGGGGGUGGCGGAAUUCCCAGUGUAGCGGUGAAAUGCGUAGAUAUUGGGAGGAACACCGGUGGCGAAGGCGGCUACCUGGACCGGUUCUGACGCUGAUGCGCGAAAGCGUGGGUAGCAAACAGG